GGCGCGCCGGCUCCCGCCCGCGACAGCCGGGGUGCCGCGGGGCUGGGCGCCGUGCCCUGCGCCCUGCUGGGGUCCCUGCCCGGGCUGGGGGCUGCUCCGGAAAGGCCCGGGCGUCUGCCGGCCUUCUGGGGCUGGCCCCGAGAGCCUUGACUAUGCGCUGAGCCCCUCUGGAUCGGAGCACCCCAGGACUGGGGCCAGAUCACCAGGGGUGAUUUACUGACAGUGCCUUUCUCUAAAGCCACGGGUCUGAGGUCCCUCUCUCAGGACCACCGCCUGCCCUCCGCCACCAGCCCACAUCAGUCCUGCAACGCGGGAGCACUGGAGACUCCAGGAGCGCUGGAGAUGCAGAAAGAAGAAAGACCCCGGGUGCUUCCAAGAGAGUGACUUUUGGCUGGUCCACAGGGGCACCCCACAAAGGGCCUCCCAACUCCGCUACCUCUGUUUUCUCUACCAAGGCAUGCAGAUUUCCUGGGCACAUGCCCUCUAGAAAAAGAGAUCUGCCUAGUGCUUGAAGGGGUACAAAGAUUGGGUGGAUCCAGAACCUCCAGGCUUUGGGGACAGCAGGCUGCAGGGCUCCAUAAUCCACGUGUAUAAUAAUAACAACACGGGAGGCACAGAGGCAGGAAAGGACAGGGAGGGCAGGGGAGAGGGCUAUGGCUAAGGAACUGUGGUUAUUAGAGGAUUCAAGAAAAUGGACAAAAGGGUAGAGUUUCAAGGAAUCAGGGGAAUGGAUGAGGUCAAGAAGUUUCAACAAAAGUUU